GUGCCAGCCGCCGCGGUAAUACGGAGGGUGCAAGCGUUAAUCGGAAUUACUGGGCGUAAAGCGUGCGUAGGCGGUUUAUUAAGUCAGAUGUGAAAGCCCCGGGCCUAACCUGGGAACUGCAUUUGAAACUGGUCAACUAGAGUAUGGUAGAGGAAAGUGGAAUUUCUGGUGUAGCGGUGAAAUGCGUAGAUAUCAGAAGGAACAUCAAUGGCGAAGGCAACUUUCUGGACCAAUACUGACGCUGAGGUACGAAAGCGUGGGUAGCAAACAGGAUUAGAUACCCUGGUAGUCCACGCCGUAAACGAUGAUAACUAGCCGUUGGGGGGAUUUACCCCUUAGUGGCGAAGCUAACGCGUUAAGUUAUCCGCCUGGGGAGUACGGCCGCAAGGCUAAAACUCAAAGGAAUUGACGGGGACCCGCACAAGCGGUGGAGCAUGUGGUUUAAUUCGAUGCAACGCGAAGAACCUUACCUGGUCUUGACAUCCUGCGAACUUUCUAGAAAUAGAUUGGUGCCUUCGGGAACGCAGUGACAGGUGCUGCAUGGCUGUCGUCAGCUCGUGUCGUGAGAUGUUGGGUUAAGUCCCGUAACGAGCGCAACCCCUAUCCUUAUUUGCCAGCACAUUAUGGUGGGAACUAUAAGGAGACUGCCGGUGAUAAACCGGAGGAAGGCGGGGACGACGUCAAGUCAUCAUGGCCCUUACGACCAGGGCUACACACGUGCUACAAUGGGAAGUACAAAGAGUCGCGAAGCCGCGAGGUGUAGCUAAUCUCACAAAUCUUCUCGUAGUCCGGAUUGGAGUCUGCAACUCGACUCCAUGAAGUCGGAAUCGCUAGUAAUCGUAGAUCAG
rnacentral:rRNA from 1 species